rnacentral:misc_RNA from 1 species
AAAGAGAAGUAAACGUUAAAAAGGAUUUCCAAUUCAGAAAGACAUUCAACAAACUGAUUUGAAGACUAAGGACUUCAUUCCUAUAAACAAGCAAGCCUUGGCUCACACAUAGUGAAAUUCAAAUAUUCGUAUGUCAACAGUACCGAAUAUGGUUGGGGGAAGUAGUUAGAUCAGAAAAUUCUAAUUUAUUUCCCAAACCAAUGAAUUUCAUCAGACAAUGCAGGAAGAGGUGAAGCAUGAUCCCCAUUUCCUUUUAUACUAAUCCCACUACCACUACGCAAUGUUGCAAACGCUUCGUUCAUCUGCCAUAUCCAUUGCCCAGUCUAGCACAAUCACAUCAACAACAGUUCCUUUCAUAUGCUCAACAAGGCCACCAUUUCCAUUAAUGUAGAGA